ACGAUCGUGAAGCCUUGUUGGUGGACAUCCUCUUGGCUUUGCGGUGAGGGGUCAAAUGCAGAUGUCGUGAGUUGAGAUUGGCUGGAAGGCGUGGAUGGCUCCAGUUGGAGUGAAGGCCACGAUGCAGUCCUAGUUAAAGUUACGACUCUGGAAGGUUGGCACGAUCGUGAAGCCUUGUUGGUGGACAUCCUCUUGGCUUUGCGGUGAGGGGUCAAAUGCAGAUGUCGUGAGUUGAGAUUGGCUGGAAGGCGUGGAUGGCUCCAGUUGGAGUGAAGGCCACGAUGCAGUCCGUCCUAGUUAAAGAUACGACUCUGGAAGGUUGGCACGAUCGUGAAGCCUUGUUGGUGGACAUCCUCUUGGCUUUGCGGUGAGGGGUCAAAUGCAGAUGUCGUGAGUUUAGAUUGGCUGGAAGGCGUGGAUGGCUCCAGUAAGAGUGAAGGCCUCGAGGCAGUCCUAGGAACGCAGCUCUGUAAAGGUGGCACAGUCAUGAAUUCUUGCUGGCGAAUAACCUCUUGACUUUGACCUUUAACUUUAUACCAAAAUAUAAACCAAUUUGUAAAUGUGAACACCAUGUAGCAUUUUAAUUGUCACUUUACUCUCAUUUGUCUUUGCGAUUCUACAUGAUCUUCGCAUGCUUUUACUGUAUGUAUCAAUACAUACAAAUUGUAAUACUAUAUUAUUUUUAAAAAGAGUAACCAUGGAGUUUCUUGCCCGUUCUUCUCCAUAGGAAGCUACUUUUGGAAUGGGCAACUAGAAUCAAACUUAGUUAUAAUUUUGACGUCCAUAAGUGCUUGUAAAGGCCUAAAUGAAAUAAAUGAUUUGACUUUGAGAAGUUUGAGGACAAACUUAGUGGUCAGAAUGGCCGAAUGUUAGACUAAUAUUAUCCUGUGUUGUUCUGUAUGUUAUAUUCUCUUUUCAUACAUUAAGGAACUAUACUAUAUUUACCGAAGUAUACUAAAUCAUUUUAGUUUUAUACGGACAACACUACCUCUACUGUGAGGACAACACUAAAAAGAGAUUUUGACAGUUAGAGCGCGCGCUUCGCAUGCGCUUCCUUCGUGGACUGAUAAACUAUGUUUUCUUACGAUUGAUAUUAAAUUGUGUUUUAAAAGUGAAUACAAGAAGUUAUUGUGAUA
rnacentral:lncRNA from 1 species